CGGGUGAGUAAUACAUCGGAACGUGCCCAGUAGUGGGGGAUAACCCGGCGAAAGCCGGACUAAUACCGCAUACGACCUAUGGGUGAAAGCAGGGGAUCGCAAGACCUUGCGCUAUUGGAGCGGCCGAUGUCAGAUUAGCUUGUUGGCGGGGUAAAAGCCCACCAAGGCGACGAUCUGUAGCUGGUCUGAGGGGACGACCAGCCACACUGGGACUGAGACACGGCCCAG
rnacentral:rRNA from 1 species